GACGGAGGAUGCAAGCGUUAUCCGGAAUGGUUGGGCGUAAAGCGUCUGCAGGUGGCAGUUCAAGUCUGCUGUCAAAGACCGGGGCUUAACUUCGGAAAGGCAGUGGAAACUGAACAGCUAGAGUAUGGUAGGGGCAGAGGGAAUUCCUGGUGUAGCGGUGAAAUGCGUAGAGAUAUGGAGGAACACCAGUGGCGAAGGCGACUUUCUGGUCUGUAACUGACACUGAGGCGCGAAAGCGUGGGGAGCAAACAGG
rnacentral:rRNA from 1 species